GAUGAACGCUGGCGGCGUGCUUAACACAUGCAAGUCGAACGGAAAGGCCCAAGCUUGCUUGGGUACUCGAGUGGCGAACGGGUGAGUAACACGUGGGUGAUCUGCCCUGCACUUCGGGAUAAGCCUGGGAAACUGGGUCUAAUACCGGAUAGGACCACUUCUUGGAUGUUGUGGUGGAAAGUUUUUUCGGUGUGGGAUGAGCUCGCGGCCUAUCAGCUUGUUGGUGGGGUAAUGGCCUACCAAGGCGUCGACGGGUAGCCGGCCUGAGAGGGUGUACGGCCACAUUGGGACUGAGGUACGGCCCAGACUCCUACGGGAGGCAGCAGUGGGGAAUAUUGCACAAUGGGCGCAAGCCUGAUGCAGCGACGCCGCGUGGGGGAUGACGGCCUUCGGGUUGUAAACUCCUUUCGCUAGGGACGAAGCGUUUUGUGAGGUACCUGGAGAAGAAGCACCGGCUAACUACGUG
rnacentral:rRNA from 1 species